rnacentral:tRNA from 1 species
GAGGACUUAGCUUAAUUAAAGUGGUUGAUUUGCGUUCAGUUGAUGUGAGAUGAAAUCUUGCAGUCCUUA